CCCUAGCCCUGAUUGAAAUGAAAAUCCUUUUUUCUCGCUGCGGCGAAAAAAAAGAUUGUAAUGGAAAGCGGGAAAUAGC
rnacentral:sRNA from 1 species